UUGGAGGGCAAGUCUGGUGCCAGCAGCCGCGGUAAUUCCAGCUCCAAUAGCGUAUAUUAAAGUUGUUGCAGUUAAAAAGCUCGUAGUUGAAUUUCGGGGUUAGUAGGUUGGUCAUGCCUCUGGUAUGUACUGGUCUCACUGAUUCCUCCUUCCUUAUGAACCGUAAUGCCAUUAAUUUGGUGUUGCGGGGAAUUUGGACUGUUACUUUGAAAAAAUUAGAGUGUUUAAAGCAAGCUAACGCUUGAAUACAUUAGCAUGGAAUAAUGAAAUAGGACGUUCGAUCUUAUUUUGUUGGUUUCUAGGAUUGACGUAAUGAUUAAUAGGGAUAGUUGGGGGCAUUAGUAUUCAAUUGUCAGAGGUGAAAUUCUUGGAUUUAUUGAAGACUAACUACUGCGAAAGCAUUUGCCAAGGAUGUUUUCAUUAGUCAAGAACGAAAGUUAGGGGAUCGAAGACGAUCAGAUACCGUCGUAGUCUUAACCAUAAACUAUGCCGACUAGGGAUCGGAUGAUGUUAAUUUUUUAAUGACUCAUUCGGCACCUUACGGGAAAC
rnacentral:rRNA from 1 species